GCUUUAGCUCUUCUUAUUAAGGUUGCUUGCUUUCUAGAUAGAGGGGUGAAGUUGUAGCUAGAACGCUAAUUCUCUUCCGUAUUUAAAUUGUUUUUCCGCUUGCUCUUAAUUUUUUAGAAAUGACUAUUCACCCCCUCUCUAGUCGGCCAUCUCGAUCCUUCAAGUGGUAUCAAAGCCACUGUCUCUCUUUUGUGGUCUUCACCGACCCGAGAGGAUGGCGACUUAUGUGUUAGAUGUUGAGUGUCCACACAUUUUUGAUGGCACGCACUUUACACGUUGGAAAGAUUGGAUGAUGAACAAUUUUAAAUUCAUUAGCCCUCAAUUGUGGUGGAUCGUGGAUGUGGGCUUUUCUUUUGCAUUGGACAAAAAGAAUUCAACCCAAGUGCAAAGGAAGUGUCUACAUCUCGAUUGCUAAGCUACUAACAUUUUCUAUCAAUCUAUGGAUGAUAGCAUAUUUGGUGAAAUCAUGGACUUGACAAGUGCUCAUGAAAUUUGGUUUCAUCUAAAUAAGAAGUAUGGGAUGACCUCCAAUAAUAUUGAUGGAGAAUAUGAAAAGAUGGAAGAUCAUGAGAAGAUAGUGAAUGAUGAUGUUGAGCUCAUUCAUGACAUGAGGGUUGUGAAGGAUUGCUCCAUCUCAAGCUCAAUUGAUGCAAUUGAAAGAUCAACCACAAGCUCACUUCAAAACAAUGAUGAUUACUCAUGUUUCGUGGCAAAUGAUGAUUCUACAAGCCCAUCUACAUCACCUCAUUGUCAUAUGUCUAAUGAUGACACAAAGGUAAAACUUGAUAGUGAUGUAGUUGCCCAUGCUUACACAUAUGAUGAGCUUGUAGAUGUUGUUAAAGGAAUGUCUCUUUAUGUUGAAGAAAUAGAAACCAAAAUGACAAACUUGGAACAUGAAAAUCACAAUUUAAGGAAAUCAUAUGAUCGUUCUGAACAUUUGCUUGGUAAAUUUGUUCAUAAGCUUGAGACCUUAAGCUUGACUCAUGAGAUUCUUUGCCUUAAACAUAAGAAGCUUAAAAUUGACCAUAAAUCUCUCAUUGAAAGCAUUUCCAAAGAAGAAACUAAAAUUGAUGAGAGCUCAUCAUAUGAGUUGGAUGGUCAAUUACAGUGUGUUGCUAACUCUUGUGAUGAAGGCUAUAAAAAUGCAUCCACCUCUUGUGAUGAUUUAUUAGAAAUGCCUUGUUCUUCAAAUUUGGAUGUAUGUUUUUCAUCUAUAGAUUGUGAGACUAUCAAUGUAGAAGAAAACAAUGAGUCAAAUGAUGAAGUGAAGAACAUGAGUAACAAAGUGGAUAGGCAUGUAAUAGCAAAAGUGACACACAAGCAAAUGAUGGAAAGUCACAAGAGGUAUGUCAACAUGAAUGGUAUUGUGUACAACAACACAAAUAUGAAAGGCAAAAGAUGGUGCAAGAAAACUUAUGAGAGAGAAAUGAGAAGACUUGAAGAAGAAAAGCUUUCUCAUUAUAUGUGUUUCAAGUGCCACAAGAUGGGACACCUAGCCUCAAGUUGUCUAAGCAAGAAAGAAAAGAUGCCACAAGACUCAACUGAAGAUGAGUCAACAUUCUCCCAUGAAGAAGCAAAUGUCAAUCACAAGGUUGAUAACAAGACGGGAAGGAAGAAAACUAGAAGAGGAGGAAGAAGAAGAAAUUGGUACAAUAAUUUCUCCUCCGAUGAGUACUAUCAAGAUCACUACAAGAGACACUUUGUCAAAAGUUGUCUUAAAGGUAGCAUUCGUAAGCCAAGCUCAAUUCAUGAUAAUAACUUGCUUAGGAAGGAUGGAAAUGGUACCGGAAAGGUAACAAUUGCUAAGGUCAUUUGGGUGCCCAAGCAUGAAUUGACUAACAUGAGAGGACCCAACGGUGGUUGGGUACCAUCAAAAGUUGAAUGAUUAGUAGGCACCAUGAUGGCAUUGGAAACUUGGCCUUAUUUGACUCACUAUUCUUAAUUGACAAGAAGCCAAGUUGGAGUUACUAUAUGUCAUAUCUUGAUCCAAUGCUAUCACUAGUGAUGAUAUGAGCUAGCCAUUCUAGUGAUUGGUCACAUCUUGGCACCACAAGUUCAACUUCAACAAGAUAACCGCUUAAAAGCGUGUGAAGAAGCUUGAAGAAGGAUCAAACCGAAUUUGGGGUAUUUUGGAUGAAAUCUCUAAUUGGAAGCUCAUGAAUGUGCUCUAGUUCAAGCAAAUGAUGAAGAACUCAUAUAUAUUAUUGCUUGAUGAAUUGGCUAAAAUUGAAAGCAUCUAGGCCAAAAGGAAUUGGUGAUCCAGGAAUUCUAUCAUGAAUAUAUCACUUUUAUUGUUCCAUAAUUGGAAUUCACUAUAUCUUGGACUAUCAACUUCCUUCAAACGGUGGUAUGGAAAAUCAAUAAUGCGCAACAUUACAUCAUCUCACUAGCAUGCCUUUAAUCUCACAUUGCUUACACUAGGUUUAUCUUGCAAUUUUUAUGUGUUGUCUUCUUAUGUCAAUAUAUUGCAUAUUUGUGAUUGUCCAUGAGCAAUGUCAUUGGAGCAUACAAAGAAAAAUGUGAGAUCAAGGAAUUUAAUGGAAUUCAUGUCAAAAUAUGUCUUGGGGACUUGUUUGAUCUGUUUGAGAAGAGUCAAAUGAGCUUUGGAAGUCAUUGGAAUCAAAUACUCAAAGAAACAGCAAGUUGUUUGUGCAGUUCAGGCAGUCGCGGACUGUCCGCCCUUUGGACCGCAGACUGUCCGCAAGUGAUUUUAAGUCAGUGCACAGAAUCUGUACAGAACAGUCGGGGCUCAGAAAUUUGAACUGCGGUCUAUCCGCCACAUGGACCGAGGACUGUCCGCGCAUCGGGUUUUGACCCAGAACCGACCCAACGGGAUAAGACCAAGUCCUCAUACCUCUUCGAGAAAAUCAGAACUCUCUCUCUCUCAACCGUGUGAGCACAAGGAAGAAGAAGGAAGGGGAACAAGGGAUUGGAGGCUUCCCCGGACACUCCGAGGAGUUCCCCGGACACUCCACGAUCUCCUCCAUCAUGUCCUCCCGGUAUCUCAAUGCUCUCUUCUCAGAUUUGAAUGAAUUUCGAGUUUGAAUGAUGUUAGGGUUGAUUCCCGAUCUCCUUUUUGAGCCAUGGAUUUGAGAAACUUUUUGGGGAAAGAUGUUACUAGUGAUGAGUAGAUGUUAUGUCUGAAGUUUGGUUGAAAAUCAUUGGUUGAAUCAUGAGAUAUAUGGAUGGAUUGAUAGCACUGCACUGUUGCUGUACGUGCGUGAACAGUAACCCCGGACUGUCCGCGCCUUCAGUAGCGGACUGUCCGCAAUGGCAAUUUUUGCACAGCAACAGCAGCUAUGGUUACAUGAUAUUUGCAAAAUUCAAAUGCUUGUCUAUCCUAGUAUUAUCAGCAAUCAGUUCAUCAGCUAGUCACUGAUUCAAAUUACAUAUGCUUAGUCAUGGAUUUCUUGAUUAAAUCAAAAUCGAUUGUGAUUGUUAUUCUCAUAUUAUUUGCAACCAAGAGUGAUGGCAUAUUCAAAUUAUGAUUGUGACUUAUCAAUGGUAGUUAUUCUUCAACAUUCAUGCAUGUCACUUACACAUUGCUAUAUCCUUUAUAAAUUAACAGUGGCAGUGGCUCAUCAAAGAAAACAACUUCCAAGAAGAAGGGAAGCACUUCAAAGAAAAGAAGAGCUAAUGAUGAUGAUGAUCUUGAUUGGAGCCCAAACCCAAGGGAAGAUAUUGAUGAAGAAGAUGAGGGUGAUAAUGAAGAGAUAGAUGUCUCCAACUACAAAGGAAAGUUCAAAAAAUGGGACAUGGACAGCUAUGCAAGAUAGAGAAGCCCAGAUCAAUAUGACCAAGAAAAUGAUGCUACCAUACCCUUCUUUUACACCAAGGUACAACAAGAUGCUUUCUUUGGGUACAUCAUUACUGCUACAGUUCACAAGCAUCAAUACAUCAAUAUGCGAUAUAUGUUGGAGAAAGAUAGAUUGACUGGGUUGCUAAACAAGUUUCAAGCCAUGGGAAUAUAUUACUUUCUUGAGCACCAAUGCAAUUGGAAUGAUUUGAUUGUCAGAUAGUUCCAUGCUACCAUGGAGAUUAGGACUGACAAAGAUGAGAUUGAGUGGAUGACUGGCAAGAGAAGAUACAUUGCAACUUUUGAUGAGUUUGCUGAAGCUAAUGAGUUGGACAAUGAAUUUUUUGCUAACUCCAUUAAUCUUGAUGAAGAAGAAAUUCUGCCUGAGGAGCAAAGGAGACAGUUCUAUGAGCCUGGAGAGCAAAACAUCUCAGUGGGAGAAUCUAGAGGGUUGAGACACCAUCCAGCUACCAUAAAUAAGAUUGCAAGGUUGACUUUCAUGCCUAAGGAAGGUGAUAGAGGCAAGAUAAGAUUCAAGUAUUGGAAUGUAAUUCAUCAUAUCAUGUAUUCUCAGAAGUUUGAUGUUGUCACCUUCAUGAUGAAUCAAUUGGCAGUCUUGAAGCAUGACAUGACCACAAAUCUUUAUUUUGCUCCAUAUAUCAUGUCACUCAUUCUUCAGAAGACAAGAUUCAAGGGGGAAUGCAGAGUGCAGCAUGAGCCAUUUAGACCAUUCUUGAAUGACAGAGAGUUUCAUAUUAGAUCACUUACUCCCUUCCCUCCUAUUGGGGGAGCUGAGGCAGGACAUGGCCAAGAUCAUGGUCAUGGUCAUGAUGAGCAUAUGGGCGGCGCAAAUAUUCCACAUGUUGAGCCUGAGGCACAUGGUUGGGUUCCUCCUGCAGGGUACUUUGAUCCAUACUUCCAAGGGAUACAAAAUUCAUGGAAUACAUCUUUUGCUCAGUUUGGUCAGAAUAUGUAGCAACAGAUGCAGCAAGGGUUCAACACCAUGGGGCAGCAGUCGCAAGGGCACAUGGAUACUAGCUUCCAGCAGUUUGGACAACACCUUCACUCCACUAUGUACCAGCCUAUCAUGUCCAGCCUUUAGAAUGUCCAACAGGGGCUGCAUAAUGAUAUUGAUGCUCCCAGUGCACAGUUGGGCACCUUGUCUACUCAGGAGCAGUAUCAGUAGAUUCAGAAUAGGCAGACUCAUCUUGAGCAGCAGGUUGAUGUGUUGAACACAAAUUUCAACAUCUUCAGUGAUCACUUCAGCAUGAUUUAUCCGAGGCCUGUUCCACCUCCUACACAGUGUCCAUAUCAGUCGUUCUAUCCACCUCAGUUUCCUCCUCCACAGUUCUACCCUCCUGACAAUGAUGGUGAUGCUUGAUGUCUCCUUUUGGGUAAUCUAAUGACAAAGGGGGAGAAGUUGUGAAGAAGAAGUCAAGAAUCAUUGAACUUAAAUGGCAGCUUGCAUGGAUUUGCUUAUGGACAUUUGCAUUGCAUGUUUAUUUAAAUUAUUGAACAAUGCAUUAGUGUGUAAACUAUCUUAGUGGUGAAAUAACUUUGAACUCCUAUGUGUGCGGCUUGUUAGAACUUAAACUCUUAUGAUAUCAUGUCCUAUGUGUGCUUGAUCAUCCAUUUUUAUCAUUAUGAUAGCACUAAUAUUCUUGUGAAAAAGUUCUAGCAAUGAUUGUGGUAUUUCGAGGAUAUUAUUCAUGAUUAUGGUCUUCAAAGGUGAUAUCUUAUAUUUUGUGUUCCUCAAAUACCACUAUAUAGGGAAACUCCGCCAAAAAUUUCUAAAUUUAUGCAUAUGUGUAAUCAUUGAAUUCAGAUCUCUAUGCACAUAUGUAGGGGGAGCUUUCUCUAUAUGGUUAAACUUUAAUUAUUCUUAUCUUCUAUUUGAGGUUGUCAUGAAUUACCUAAAAGGGGGAUAUUGAAAGAUCUAGGCCUGUAUUUGGGUUUUGGUAAUUAGUGACAACUCUUGUGGACUAACCUUUCAACUCAAGUGUGUGAAGGAAAAGUUGGUUUAGUUCACAAGGAAAGAUGGACAUCAACAUCAUUUGAUUGAUAGCAUGUUGGAAUGCUCAAAUCGACAUGGCAAACAAGUGAAGACCAAAGCAAGACUUGGCUUCGAUGGACCAGUUGCUACGCAAUGGUGAAGGGCAAGCUAAUGGGCUUGGUGCCGAUGGACUUAGGUGAAGGUGAAGGGCAAGCUAGUGAGCUUGGCUCCAAAGGACCGAAGCAACGGUGAAGAGCAAGUAAGACUAAGGUUGAUGGACUUGGAUGCUUUGUGAUGGUUUGAGUGAUCCACAUCAUAUUUGAGGACGAAGCCAAAGACAAAUUAAUCAUAUCAAGUGGCUUUGUCAACAUGUCGGCUUGUGCAAGGCAAAGGUAUGAAACAUAGGUUGUUUCAUUUCACCGGCCAUAAGGUGUUUUAGAGAAGAUUAAAAUGGCCAGAUUUAGGAUAGAUAGCCAUACUAUUAAGAGGGGCAAAUAUGCUUUGCAUUGCGGUUAUCUAGUGGCACUUGUGAGUUCUAACAUUGAGAUACGAUUAGUGUUGAAGUGGCGGUUUUACAAAACCUUUAUGAAAAAUGAUUUGCCUAAAAGCUAACCGGUGGCAAGUUGAACGGUUUUCUCUUUUGAGAAAUCGUUUAUUGGUGUUGGCUUUCCGUGAUAAAAGGUUUUUGAGAAGUGUUUUUAUCUAACCGUUUUAUGCUUUGGAACACUCCAUUGGUAUGGGGUGCUUGCUCAAAGUAUUGGAGAAGAUGCGCUUGUGGAAGUGGUUUCUGGGCAAAGGCGGUCUGUUUGCUGUUGUGGGCGCAGACUGUCCGCGGGCCAAUCCCAGGAAACCAGAAAGUUUCUGGUGGUUCUGCAGCUGACUUUCGCGUAGACGACGAACAGUCCACGCCUGUAAGGGCGGACAGUCCGCAGGUAUUUUUUGUGGAACCAAACAGAUAGUUUUUCAAUCUGCUCAGGGCUGACUGCGUGACCGCGGACAGUCCGCGCCUGUAAGGGCGGACAGUCCGCGGGUCAUUUUCCUUGGCGAGCAGAGUUGCUGGACUUCCUGUCCAGGGGUUUGUUUUUCAGUGGCGGACUGUCCGCGCCCUGUAGGGUGGACUGUCCGCGGUUCAGCAGUUUGAACCCAACAGCUAGUUGAAGUUAAUCGCGGACUGUCCGGGGUUUCUACAGCGGACUGUCCGCGAGUCACGAAUCAGAGCAUAACGGCUAGUUUUGGGGGGCUCCUCUAUAUAUAGUUGGAUGCCCGGUUGGUGAGGGAUCUUGUGGCCAUUUUUAUGGCAUACUCUUUGGGAGAGCUCCUCUCUAGCACCUCUUCUCACACCCUUUGCUUAGUGCAACAUUUGGAGAGUUGAGUGUGCUCACUAGUGCGGAUCUUUGCGUGAGAGAUUACUCGUGGCACUAGGUGGUCGUCGUGAAAGUGUGGUUGCUUAUUACUCUUGGAGUUUGCCGGCUCCUAGACGGCUUGGUGAUUGUCUUUGUGAAGCACACAAGAAGCUUUGUGCGGUGCUCCGAAGUUGGCUUUGUGAGGGGCUAUCGAGCUCAUCCCCGUCGGAGGAAGACGAAGAGCAUCUCUAGUAAAAUCGAGGCUUGUGUGGGUGUCUAGUUGAUUCGUCCGACUCAAGUUUAGAGCUCACGUGGAGCCUACCUAGUGAGGUAGUCCGAAGCUUGCAGGCUUGGAACUAACAAGAGGAGCGGCAAUCCUAGAACUCGCCUCAACGUGGACUAAGUGACCGGCAAGUCACCGAACCACGGAAAAACAUCGUGUGGCAUCCUCUUCAUUGUGGUUUGCCUAUCUCAACACAAGCUUAUCUUAUUGAUAUGUAUACUUUGUGCUUGUGUUGAUUAUGCUUGAGCUCUUUGUCUACUUCAUGAUCACUAGUAUGCUUGGUUGAUACAUUGUGUUUUCAAUAAUUCAUAUUGUGAAAAGUAUCUUGAUCUUGCUUUAGCUCUUCUUAUUAAGGUUGCUUCCUUUCUAGAUAGAGGGGUGAAGUUGUAGCUAGAAUGCUAAUUCUCUUCCGUAUUUAAAUUGUUUUUGUGCUUGCUCUUAAUUUUUUAGAAACGACUAUUCACCCCCCUCUAGUCGGUCAUCUCGAUCCUUCAUCGAGUCUAUUUUAUAUAGUCAUAAAAUACCAAAAAUAUGUGAGCACAUGAAGGUUCAUAAUAGUAUCAUAAGAAAAUAUAAAAAUACCAAAAAUAUAUGGGCCCAUGAAGAUCCAUGUUUUUAAGUCUUGUGAGUCCAAUAGAAAUAAAAAGAUGAAUAAUAAUUUAAAAUCAAAAACAAAAUACUUAUCUAUAUAUUAAGGUGUGAUCAUAGAGUGUGUCUACAGUUAGUCUAGUUUAGAGUCAAAUAAAAAUUAAAGAACAUUAAAAUUUUGUCUUGGAGAUGAUGAAAAGUUGCUCUACAGUGAUUCCUUUCAAUUGCCUAGUUUUUAAACAUGAAUUCUCCUGAGUUUUAGACAUGACCACUUUAAUAUAAGAAUUUACUCUGAACCUAAAAUUUGUGGAGGCAUAUGUUUAAGCUGAGUCGAGGUAAUUGAUAUUAAGCUGCUAUUUAUCUUAUUCCUAGCAUUACUAAGUUUUGGAGAUUUAUUUUCAAAAACCCAAAAUCUUACAUAAUGAGCUCUUGUAUGAUAAAGUUUAAAUUCCUACCAAAGCCAUAUAUGAUACAUUUAGAGUUAGGAAAACCUUUGCACAUUCAUACUGCUUGAUUUACAUUGAGAUUAGUCAACCUUUGAAGUAUACCUUAUGAGAGUCUUGUCAUGCUUUUAAAAUUAAGAUCACUAACGCACUCCACCCACAUAUGCAUUACUCCUAUCUAGGAUGUAAGCGCAGUCAUUUCCAGUUUCAUCCAGAUCCACCUUAAAUAAAUAUUUUCUCCUACACUAGGAGUAAACACCCAAAAAUAUACCCUAUAGGACAGCACCCAUUUAAUUGCUCUAAGUUCUUAUCAUUAUCCCUCCGAUCAUUUAUAUUCAAAGGAUGCAUGUGGCUGUGCAAAAGUAUUGAAAAAAAGAAGAGAAGAAGAAAACUGGGAGUAAAAGAUGGACAAGUGUCCCAACAAUUAAAACAAUGGGUACAUAGAUGCCCGCCUCUCAGAAUAAAAAAAGAGAAAGGAAAAAUAAGAAAGAAAAAAAAGAAUAAAGAUAGCCCAUGGUUACCCGCGAGAAGUUCUAAGUUUUAAAGGAGGGAGUUAUUUUCAAUGAGCAAAAGUAGAAUUAGGAUUAGCUACUAAAUAUCAUAUAGGCACCUUGAACGCCCAAGUUUGGUUUUGGUAAUUAAUGAGAUCAAGUUGCUGUUGGGUAUUUUAAACGCAAACAGAAAAAUCCGCAAGCGCAUGGAUACCGAUAUAGCCUUUGUUGGGUAUUUUAAACGCAAACAGAAAAAUCCGCAAGCGCACGGAUACCGAUGUAGCUUUCACCCGGGAGUAUUCCAGAGUAUCGAUUUUCCACAGGGAACGUGAGUGUACUAAUUAAGAUCCAAGAUUGCCCAAGGAUAACUAUAUAAUUAUUUUUGGUGGGAAGAGAGGAAGUUUCGUGAGAGUUCUCUAGUUGAUCUAAGAAUCAAGAAUUACUUCAAGAUUAUCUAUAUCGGGACAUCAGAACACUAACCACAGAAAGAGAUGAGAAGGGGGCUAGGAAGCUCCGACUACGGUCCUGCAAACACCGAUCCGAACGUGGUGGAAUACGUCGACCGUUAGGGCUGUCACUACCCUAAGGCUACCACAACAAUCCGCAGGAUUGGGUGCAAUUCCAGGUAAUUGCAAGACUAAACACCACGUCUAAUCUAUUAAUUACUACUCUAAUGUUUCAAAGAUUAGAGCACUUGAUGCAAGCGGGAAUCCAAUAAAUAACUUGAAUGUAAAUAAAAGUAAUUAAAGAACUCAGGAAUUAUGAGUUGAAGAACCUAGAGAACGAUGAAGGAUGAACCAGUUGCUGCAAAAAUACAAUGUUGAGGAAGAUCCGAUAGAUCCGGCUCCUCCUCCGCUCUCCUCUUCUCUCUCCCUAUUUUCUAGAUUACAACUAGAACUAACUAGAACUAGAACUAGAGGAACUAGAACUAGAACUAGAACUAGAUGAACUAGAACUAGAUCUAGAUGAACUAGAGGUAGAACUAGAAGAACUAGAGGGAUCCUCUCUACUUGGAUGAAGAAUUGAAACCCUAGCUUUGUUUCUGUAGAAGAGGUAUGAUCUCCAGGGGCCAGGGGGUCUGGUUUUAUAGUCCCUUCAAGUGAAUCUGGGCCGUCGGAUCAAACCGACAUUAAUCGCACGGUUUUCCUUGAUCCUUUAGGUCGGUGGAGCGUUGUCC
rnacentral:lncRNA from 1 species